CAGAGAAUAGUUUAAAUUAAAAUUUUAAUUUUGGAGAUUAAAGAUAAAAUAGGUAUUUUUUCUCUGA
rnacentral:tRNA from 1 species